CAGAAAUCAGUUGGCCAGUCUCUCUGAGGGCUCCGACUAGCUCCGGACGCGCCGCCCCCCAGAGCCGCAGACAUGGCCAACCAGACCAGUGCCUCCACCCCGUAUGACGGCUACGAAUACUACCUAGACUACCUGGACCUCAUUCCCGUGGAUGAGAGGAAACUGAAGGCCAACAAAUUCAAAGGGAUCAGAAAGCGUCGCCUGUGCAGAGGUUCACAUCAAAGACAGAAAGAUGCCGGGACAGGAGCCAUGAGCCGGGGACGCUCGCAGAUUUGAUUGUCAUUGCCUUCUGGGUGAGCCUGGCAUUUUUCGUCAUGCUUCUCUUCCUCAUCCUGCUCUACAUGUCCUGGUCAGGGUCCUCGCAGGUGAGGAAUGACGCCCAGCACCGCCCAGCACAACCCUGGGGUCCCAGCCUCAAGCUCCCACUCUGCAUCCGGAGGCAGCCUGCGGGGUCCCUCGAGCUCGGGGACCCAGCCACACAGCACAGCAUCCCGACCUGAGCCUCGGCUGCGGAUGAAGCCCCUCUGCCCUGCCCCGCAGACCCACCAACCGCCCUGCUCUCUUCCGGAACCGGCCUCGGUGGGGACCCCCCACAGCAGCCGACAACAGGAACAGGCAGGAGGAACCUCUCCCUGGAGAUGGAACCUCUCAGUUGCAGCACCGACACUGGCGGACCAGUGUGCUCAAACCAAGCUGGACACAGUGCCUUCGGAAAGCCUGCUUACACGUAGCAGGAAGGGUGACGGGGUCACAGGGCACCGACAUGCAUCGUGCGGGGCUGCACGAGCCCACCUAGGCCAGGGAAGCAGCCCAGAUAUUACUGAUUUUUAGUGCACUUAACCUGCAUACUUACUCCUUGUGCACUUUCGGAAGGGUAGAAAAAUAAAACAUGUAUGAGUUAAUGAAA